ACCACCAAACCCGUCCCAAUCCACGCUCUCACGCUCGAAACCACACACGACGACGGCAACGGCGGCGGCGGCGCGGCGCGCGCGGCAACGAUGGAGCUCCGUCCUCCUCGCCAUCCUUCUCUCUGCCUCUUCCGCCGCGGACGCGUCCUUCCUCUGCACGCACAAGAUGGACAAUCAAGUAGCACCACAAUGCUAUUUUAAUGUGGAGGCUGAGCACACUAUGACUGUGCCGAUGGAAAUAUCUGAAACUCAAACCAGGGUAAGAAAUCCUGUUGAGGUGAACAGCACAACCACAAUUAGCUCAACGACUAUUGGGGGCCAAACACCUUAUGUAAUUAAGAAAUUACUAGACUGAUGGGUGGAGGCACAAGUUAACUAGCUUGCUAACAUUAUAUUGCUACUCUAGGAUCUCUUUUCAUCAGGCGUGGGCUUAACAUGACAAAAUUUUGGAUUAUAAUGCUGUUUGAUUAGGCGAAAGAUGUGUGAAAUAGAUCAGAUCAAUUCAUAGUCCGACCAUUUCAUUUUGUCCUUGUCGAUGUAUAAAGUGAUUUAAAUCUUAUAUUUGUGUAUUCACGUACAUUCACUGAAAAUGGUGUGUGCGUUACUAGUGUCUAUAGUUACCUUCUUAGCAGCAACUGAA